GAAUUGUUCGCAAUGGGCGCAAGCCUGACGACGCAACGCCGCGUGGAGGAUGAAGAUUUUCGGAUCGUAAACUCCUGUCGAGUGGGAAGAAUAGCCUGGGGGCGAAUAUCCCCGAGGUCUGACGGUACCACUAAAGGAAGCCCCGGCUAACUCCGUUCCAGCAGCCGCGGUAAUACGGGGGGGGCAAGCGUUGUUCGGAAUUACUGGGGGUAAAGGGCUCGUAGGCGGCCAACUAAGUCAGACGUGAAAUCCCCAGGCUCAACCUGGGAACUGCGUCUGAUACUGGAUGGCUUGAAUUCGGGAGAGGGAUGCAGAAUUCCAGGUGUAGCGGUGAAAUGCGUAGAUAUCUGGAGGAAUACCGGUGGCGAAGGCGGCAUCCUGGACCGACAUUGACGCUGAGGAGCGAAAGCUAGGGGAGCAAACGGG
rnacentral:rRNA from 1 species